rnacentral:rRNA from 1 species
AUUGAACGCUGGCGGCAGGCCUAACACAUGCAAGUCGAGCGGAUCGGCGGUCGGGUAAGUAAUGCCUAGGAAUCUGCCUGGUAGUGGGGGAUAACGUCCGGAAACGGGCGCUAUUACCGCUUACUAUCAGAUGAGCCUAGGGGGGAUUAGCUAGUUGGUGGGGUAAAGGCCUACCAAGGCGACGAUCCGUAACUGGUCUGAGAGGAUGAUCAGUCACACUGGAACUGAGACACGGUCCAGACUCCUACGGGAGGCAGCAGUGGGGAAUAUUGCACAAUGGGCGCAAGCCUGAUGCAGCCAUGCCGCGUGUAUGAAGAAGGCCUUCGGGUUGUAAAGUACUUUCAGCGGGGAGGCGUUACCCGCAGAAGAAGCACCGGCUAACUCCGUGCCAGCCGCCGCGGUAAUAC